rnacentral:rRNA from 3 species
GGACUACAAGGGUAUCUAAUCCCGUUUGCUCCCCUAGCUUUCGCGCCUCAGCGUCAGAAGAGAUCCAGCCCGCCGCUUUCGCCACCGGCGUUCCUUCCGAUAUCAACGCAUUUCACCGCUCCACCGGAAGUUCCACGGGCCCCUACCUCCCUCAAGACAGCCAGUAUCCACGGCCGUUUUCCGGUUAAGCCGAAAGAUUUCACCACAGACUUGGCUGCCCGCCUACGCGCCCUUUAAGCCCAGUGAUUCCGAACAACGUUUGCACGGUUCGUCUUACCGCGGCUGCUGGCAC